rnacentral:tRNA from 1 species
AUCAGGAUGGUUAAAUGGUCUAGGGUGCCAGACUCAAGGCUUUGUCUUCUUUUUUUCUGGGUGUUCUGGUCUCUGUAUGGAGGUGUGGGUUCAAAUCCCACUGCUGACA